UACGGAGGAUCCAAGCGUUAUCCGGAAUCAUUGGGUUUAAAGGGUCCGUAGGCGGCCUUAUAAGUCAGUGGUGAAAUCUCACGGCUCAACCGUGAAAUGGCCAUUGAUACUGUAGGGCUUGAAUUACCAGGAAGUAACUAGAAUAUGUAGUGUAGCGGUGAAAUGCUUAGAUAUUACAUGGAAUACCAAUUGCGAAGGCAGGUUACUACUGGUGGAUUGACGCUGAUGGACGAAAGCGUGGGUAGCGAACAGG
rnacentral:rRNA from 1 species